UGGGGGAUAUUGCACAAUGGGGGGAACCCUGAUGCAGCGACGCCGCGUGAGUGAAGAAGUAUUUCGGUAUGUAAAGCUCUAUCAGCAGGGACGAAAGAGGACGGUACCUGAGUAAGAAGCCCCGGCUAACUACGUGCCAGCAGCCGCGGUAAUACGUAGGGGGCAAGCGUUAUCCGGAUUUACUGGGUGUAAAGGGAGCGUAGACGGCAAUGCAAGUCUGGAGUGAAAGCCCAAGGCUUAACCAUGGGACUGCUCUGGAAACUGUGAGGCUGGAGUGCAGGAGGGGUAAGCGGAAUUCCUAGUGUAGCGGUGAAAUGCGUAGAUAUUAGGAGGAACACCGGUGGCGAAGGCGGCUUACUGGACUGUAACUGACGUUGAGGCUCGAAGGCGUGGGGAGCAAACAGG
rnacentral:rRNA from 1 species